UCGUUCCUACGGGGGGCAGCAGUAGGGAAUCUUCCACAAUGGGCGAAAGCCUGAUGGAGCAACGCCGCGUGGGUGAAGAAGGACUUCGGAUUGUAAAGCUCUGUUAGCAGGGAAGAGGAAGGACGGUACCUGCAGAGGAAGCCACGGCUAACUACGUGCCAGCAGCCGCGGUAAUACGUAGGUGGCAAGCGUUGUUCGGAAUAACUGGGCGUAAAGGAUGCGUAGGCGGAUAAACAAGUUA
rnacentral:rRNA from 1 species